GCGGAGGUUGCCAAGCCAGGUCAAAGGCGCCAGGUUGAGGGCCUGGUUCAGUAGUGAUUCGCGAGUUCAAAUCUCGCCCUCCGCACCA
rnacentral:tRNA from 2 species